UACAGAGGUCCCAAGCGUUUGUUCGGAUUCACUGGGCGUAAAGGGAGCGUAGGCGGGUUUCUAAGUCAGGUGUUUAAUCCCGGGGCCCAACCCCGGACAGGCACUUGAAACUGGGAAUCUUGAAUAGUGGAGAGGUCAGUGGAAUUGGGGGUGUAGCGGUGGAAUGCGUAGAGAUCCCCAAGAACACCAGUUGCGAAGGCGGCUGACUGGACACAUAUUGACGCUGAGGCUCGAAAGCAUGGGGGAGCAAACAGGG
rnacentral:rRNA from 1 species